CCUACGGGCGGCUGCAGUGAGGAAUAUUGGGCAAUGGACGCAAGUCUGACCCAGCCAUGCCGCGUGAAGGAUGAAGGCGUUCUGCGUUGUAAACUUCUUUUAUCUGGGAAGAAACCUACUUUUUCUAAAGUAGCCGACGGUACCAGAGGAAUAAGCACCGGCUAACUCCGUGCCAGCAGCCGCGGUAAUACGGAGGGUGCAAGCGUUAUCCGGAUUUACUGGGUUUAAAGGGUGUGUAGGCGGGUAUUUAAGUCAGUGGUGAAAUCUCCGAGCUCAACUCGGAAACUGCCAUUGAUACUAUUUAUCUUGAAUAUUGUUGAGGUAGGCGGAAUAUGUCAUGUAGCGGUGAAAUGCUUAGAUAUGACAUAGAACACCGAUUGCGAAGGCAGCUUGCUAAACCAUUAUUGACGCUGAGGCACGAAAGCGUGGGGAUCAAACAGGAUUAGAUACCCCAGUAGUC
rnacentral:rRNA from 1 species